CAGAGACUUAGCAUGACAUGCUUGUNCAGCCUUCGGGAACUCUGAGACCGGUGNCUGUUAGGCUGUCGUCGAGCUCGUGUUGUGAAAUGUUGGGUUAAGUCCCCCCAACGAGANUNNACCUUUAUCGUUUGUUGCCAGCGGUCCGGCCGGGAACUCGAAAGUGAGACUGCCAGUGAUAAACUGGAGGAAGGUGGGGAUGACGUCAAGUCAUCAUGGCCCUUACGAGUAGGGCUACACACGUGCUACAAUGGCGCAUACAGAGAGAGAAGCGACCUCGCGGAGAGCAAGCGGACCUCUCUAAAGUGCGUCGUAUCCGGAUUGGAGUCUGCAAAUCGAGUCCAUAGAAGUCGGAAUCGCUAGUAAUCGUAGAUCAGAAUGCNAACGGGGAAUACGU
rnacentral:rRNA from 1 species